GAUGAACGCUAGCUACAGGCUUAACACAUGCAAGUCGAGGGGAAACGGCAUUUAGUGCUUGCACCGAAUGGACGUCGACCGGCGCACGGGUGAGUAACGCGUAUCCAACCUACCCAUUACUGUGGGAUAACCUGCCGAAAGGCAGACUAAUACCGCAUAGUCUUCGAUGACGGCAUCAGAUUUGAAGUAAAGAUUUAUCGGUAAUGGAUGGGGAUGCGUCUGAUUAGCUUGUUGGCGGGGUAACGGCCCACCAAGGCGACGAUCAGUAGGGGUUCUGAGAGGAAGGUCCCCCACAUUGGAACUGAGACACGGUCCAAACUCCUACGGGAGGCAGCAGUGAGGAAUAUUGGUCAAUGGACGAGGGUCUGAACCAGCCAAGUAGCGUGCAGGAUGACGGCCCUAUGGGUUGUAAACUGCUUUUGUAUGGGGAUAAAGUCAAUCACGUGUGAUUGUUUGCAGGUACCAUACGAAUAAGGACCGGCUAAUUCCGUGCCAGCAGCCGCGGUAAUACGGAAGGUCCGGGCGUUAUCCGGAUUUAUUGGGUUUAAAGGGAGCGUAGGCCGGAGAUUAAGUGUGUUGUGAAAUGUAGACGCUCAACGUCUGACUUGCAGCGCAUACUGGUUUCCUUGAGUACGCACAACGUUGGCGGAAUUCGUCGUGUAGCGGUGAAAUGCUUAGAUAUGACGAAGAACUCCGAUUGCGAAGGCAGCUGACGGGAGCGCAACUGACGCUUAAGCUCGAAGGUGCGGGUAUCGAACAGG
rnacentral:rRNA from 1 species